AUUGAACGCUGGCGGCAGGCUUAACACAUGCAAGUCGAGCGCGCGGCGGACGGGGGAGUAAUGUAUAGGGACUGUCCGAUAGAGGGGGAUAACUACUGGAAACGGAUGCUAAUACAGCAUACGUUCUGAGAACCCAUAUGGGAUUAGCUAGUGGGUAAGGUAAUGGCGUACCAAGGCGACGAUCACUAGCUGGUCUGAGAGGAUGAUCCGCCACACUGGGACUGAGACACGGCCCAGACUCCUACGGAGGCAGCAGUGGGGAAUAUUGCACAAUGGGCGCAAGCCUGAUGCAGCCAUGCCGCGUGUAUGAAGAAGGCCCUAGGGUUGUAAAGUACUUUCAGUCGGGAGGCGUUACCUACAGAAGAAGCACCGGCUAACUCCGUGCCAGCAGCCGCGGUAAUUC
rnacentral:rRNA from 1 species